UGGGGAAUCUUGCGCAAUGGGCGAAAGCCUGACGCAGCAACGCCGCGUGGGGGAUGAAGGCUCUCGGGUUGUAAACCCCUUUCAGUAGGGACGAAUCAAGACGGUACCUACAGAAGAAGCCCCGGCUAACUACGUGCCAGCAGCCGCGGUAACACGUAGGGGGCAAGCGUUGUCCGGAUUUAUUGGGCGUAAAGAGCUCGUAGGCUGUUCGGUAAGUCGGGUGUUAAACCCUCAGGCUCAACCUGGGGCCCCACCCGAUACUGCUGUGACUAGAGUCCGGUAGGGGAGCGUGGAAUUCCUGGUGUAGCGGUGAAAUGCGCAGAUAUCAGGAGGAACACCAGCGGCGAAGGCGGCGCUCUGGGCCGGAACUGACGCUGAGGAGCGAAAGCGUGGGUAGCAAACAGGAUUAGAUACCCCUGUAGUCC
rnacentral:rRNA from 1 species